rnacentral:rRNA from 1 species
GACGAACGCUGGCGGCGUGCCUAAUACAUGCAAGUCGAACGCUGAAGGAGGAGCUUGCUUCUCUGGAUGAGUUGCGAACGGGUGAGUAACGCGUAGGUAACCUGCCUGGUAGCGGGGGAUAACUAUUGGAAACGAUAGCUAAUACCGCAUAAGAGUAGAUGUCGCAUGACAUUUGCUUAAAAGGUGCAAUUGCAUCACUACCAGAUGGACCUGCGUUGUAUUAGCUAGUUGGUGAGGUAACGGCUCACCAAGGCAACGAUACAUAGCCGACCUGAGAGGGGGAACGGCCACACUGGGACUGAGACACGGCCCAGACUCCUACGGGAGGCAGCAGUAGGGAAUCUUCGGCAAUGGACGGAAGUCUGACCGAGCAACGCCGCGUGAGUGAAGAAGGUUUUCGGAUCGUAAAGCUCUGUUGUAAGAGAAGAACGAGUGUGAGAGUGGAAAGUUCACACUGUGACGGUAUCUUACCAGAAAGGGACGGCUAACUACGUG